rnacentral:rRNA from 1 species
AGUGAACGCUGGCGGUAGACCUAACACAUGCAAGUCGAACGGCAGCACAGUAAGAGCUUGCUCUUACGGGUGGCGAGUGGCGGACGGGUGAGGAAUACAUCGGAAUCUACUUUUUCGUGGGGGAUAACGUAGGGAAACUUACGCUAAUACCGCAUACGACCUACGGGUGAAAGCAGGGGAUCUUCGGACCUUGCGCGAUUGAAUGAGCCGAUGUCGGAUUAGCUAGUUGGCGGGGUAAAGGCCCACCAAGGCGACGAUCCGUAGCUGGUCUGAGAGGAUGAUCAGCCACACUGGAACUGAGACACGGUCCAGACUCCUACGGGAGGCAGCAGUGGGGAAUAUUGGACAAUGGGCGCAAGCCUGAUCCAGCCAUACCGCGUGGGUGAAGAAGGCCUUCGGGUCGUAAAGCCCUUUUGUUGGGAAAGAAAAGCAGCAGGUUAAUACCCCGCUGUUCUGACGGUACCCAAAGAAUAAGCACCGGCUAACUUCGUG